CAUAAUCACUUGUCCCAUAAAUCGGGACCGGAAUGAAUGGCUAAAUGAAGACUAAACUGUCUCUUGCGGCAAGCCAAUGAAAUUGAUUUUCCAGUACAAAAGCUGAAAUAAACCCAUAAGACGAGAAGACCCUGUGGAGCUUUUAAACCAAACCACUAAGUUUUUAGUUGGGGCGACUUCGGAGCAUAAAAAAACCUCCAAAACAUGAAAUCGAGACCAACAUAUCAAAAAUAAGAUCCAGCAUGACUGAUUAAUGAACCAAGUUACCCCAGGGAUAACAGCGCCAUCCCCUUCUAGAGUCCAUAUCAACAAGGGGGCUUACGACCUCGAUGUUGGAUCAGGACACCCCAAUGGUGCAGCCGCCAUUAAAGGUUCGUUUGUUCAACGAUUAAAGUCCUAC
rnacentral:rRNA from 1 species